rnacentral:rRNA from 1 species
CCUACGGGAGACAGCAGUAGGGAAUAUUGCUCAAUGGGGGAAACCCUGAAGCAGCAACGUCGCGUGGAGGAUGAAGGUUUUCGGAUUGUAAACUCCUUUUGUUAGAGAAGAUAAUGACGGUAUCUAACGAAUAAGCACCGGCUAACUCCGUGCCAGCAGCCGCGGUAAUACGGAGGGUGCAAGCGUUACUCGGAAUCACUGGGCGUAAAGGGCGCGUAGGCGGGAUAGCAAGUCAGAUGUGAAAGCCUAUGGCUUAACCAUAGAACUGCAUUUGAAACUGUUAGUCUAGAGUAUGGGAGAGGUAGGUGGAAUUCUUGGUGUAGGGGUAAAAUCCGUAGAGAUCAAGAGGAAUACUCAUUGCGAAGGCGACCUGCUAGAACAUAACUGACGCUGAUGCGCGAAAGCGUGGGGAGCAAACAGGAUUAGAUACCCUUGUAGUC